rnacentral:rRNA from 1 species
UACGUAGGCAGCAAGCGUUGUUCGGAAUUACUGGGCGUAAAGAGUGUGUAGGUGGUGUCGUAAGUUUGGUGUGAAAUCUCCCGCUUAACUGGGAGGGUGCGCCGAAGACUGCGAUGCUGGAGUAUGGGAGAGGAAAGCGGAUUCCUGGUGUAGCGGUGAAAUGCGUAGAUAUCAGGAGGAACACCUGCGGUGUAGACGGCUUUCUGGACCAUUACUGACACUGAGACACGAAAGCGUGGGUAGCAAACAGG